rnacentral:sRNA from 1 species
UGCGGGAAGAGCUGUUCCAGGGCGAUGCCUUCCAUCAGUCGGAUACACACAUAUUCAUCAUCAUGGGUGCAUCGGGUGACCUGGCCAAGAAGAAGAUCUACCCCACCAUCUGGUGGCUGUUCCGGGAUGGCCUUCUGCCCGAAAACACCUUCAUCGUGGGCUAUGCCCGCUCCCGCCUCACAGUGGCUGACAUCCGCAAACAGAGUGAGCCCUUCUUCAAGGUGGGUGGCGUCAGGGCCUCCUCCAGCCUGGUUCUGCCCUCUCUACCAGCCCCCAGCGUGGCCAGCUUCGGGGACCUCCCCCCAUCCUAUCCCAGGAUGCUCUCCUCCCCUCCUGCCCCGCCCGCUCUCCUAUUUCCUUGAGAUCCCCAUUACCAGCCCCCUGUGACCAGGACUCACGGGUCCCAUCCUGCUGUGCUCUGCUGCGUU